AUGUGUUCAUUUUUUAUAAACAGUUUCGGUUAUUCGCCUAAGUACACUCAAACUGAAUUUGAUAAUGCUUGGAAGAAAAUGACGACGAGGGAUAAGUUUUAUAAGCCUCUGCAAAAGCAAAUGGGAUGUUGGCCCAAAAACACGAUUACAUACAGCAUUCAUUAUGGGUUCACUUAUGGUCAGUAUAAUCAUAUAUUAAACCACAUAAAUCAAAUACAGAACAAAACAUGUCUACGGUGGGUAGAGAAAAACCCGUACGCUGAAGGUCUGCGGAAAUCAUUGGAGUUUGCCUACUCUAAAAAGGUCACUGACUGUUAUACAAGGGAGGUGGGUGAUGAAAAAGCAAAAAAAAGGGAUAAUAUCCAUAAUAACCCUGGGGGAUGAAUGCUUCGAUAGGGAGUCAGUUAUACAUGAGAUGAUGCAUGCGUUGGGGUUCCUACAUGAACACCAGAGGAUAGAUAGGGACUGUUACGUCAAAGUUGAGGAUAAAUAUGCACAAUCAGAUUUGGAAUUCAAAAUCGUCUACGACGACAGUACUUUUGAGAAAUGGCCGUACGACAAAGAAAGUGUAACUCACUACACUCGGCUGGGUGACGCACUAA